AUUGGACGCUGGCGGCAUGCCUAACACAUGCAAGUCGAACGGAAACGAUGCUAGCUUGCUAGCAGGCGUCGAGUGGCGGACGGGUGAGUAAUGUAUAGGGAUCUGCCUAGUAGUGGGGGACAACAUGUGGAAACGCAUGCUAAUACCGCAUACGCUCUACGGAGGAAAGUGGGGGACCUUUCGGGGCCUCAUGCUACUAGAUGAACCUAUAUUGGAUUAGCUUGUUGGUAAGGUAAUGGCUUACCAAGGCGACGAUCCAUAGCUGGUUUGAGAGAAUGAUCAGCCACACUGGGACUGAGACACGGCCCAG
rnacentral:rRNA from 1 species